CUAAAGUGGCCAUUUUGUUACUGGCAGUUGCUUGACUGCACCUUUGUUUCUUUCAGAUGAAUCACUGCUGGAUCCAGACUGACUCUGAGGGCAACGCCAGGUCUUGAGGAGUCAUUUACAUUACCUGGAUCUACCAGUGUACUCAAGCUAAGAAAUGAAAGGUUCCACACACACAGUUUUGGGGAAAAUUGACUGAAUUAUUACAUCCAUAAUAUAGAUGGACUUCCAACAGCUGUAUAAAGUUUUGGUGUGUCCAGUUGAGUCAACUUCUGGCUCCAUGACACGGGACAGUGGUAAGAAUCACCUGAAGAGUUGUUUUCUUCUAACACUGAACAAGGAACUUAAUUAGA